rnacentral:rRNA from 1 species
GCGAUAAAUCAUUCAAGUUUCUGCCCUAUCAGCUUUCGAUGGUAGUGUAUUGGAUUACCAUGGCAGUAACGGGUAACGAAGAAUUAGGGUUCGAUUUCGGAGAGGGAGCAUGAGAAACGGCUACCACAUCUAAGGAAGGCAGCAGGCGCGUAAAUUACCCAAUCCUGACUCAGGGAGGUAGUGACAAGAAAUAGCAAACCGGGAACCUCAUGGUUUCACGGUAUUGCAAUGAGAACAAUUUAAAACCCUUAGCGAGAAUCAAGUGGAGGACAAGUCUGGUGCCAGCACCCGCGGUAAUUCCAGCUCCACUAGCGUAUAUUAAAGUUGUUGCAGUUAAAAAGCUCGUAGUUGAACCUCUGUCUGGGGCUAGUUUUGGCUUUGGUCAGGCUAGUUCUAGGCAUCCGCCUACAAGACUUAGAGGGCAUUCAGUUGUUCACUAGGAGGAGUAGGCAUUUUACUUUGAAAAAAUUAGAGUGUUUAAGGCAGGCAAUCGCCCGCAUAUAUUAGCAUGGAAUAAUAGAAUAGGACACUUUUCCAUUUCGUUGGUUAUUGGAAUCGUGUAAUGAUUAAUAGGGACAGUUGUGGGCAUUUGUAUUUAAUUGUCAGAGGUGAAACUCUUGGAUUUAUUAAAGACAAACUAACGCGAAAGCAUUUGCCAAGGAUGUUUUCAUUAAUCAAGAACGAAAGUUAGGGGAUCAAAGACGAUCAGAUACCGUCCUAGUCUUAACUAUAAACUAUUCCGACUCAAUGUUUGACUGGCUUAUAUAACCAGUUGAGCGUUGUAUGAGAAAUCAAAGUCUUUAGGUUCUGGGGGGAGUAUGGUUGCAAAGCUGAAACUUAAAGGAAUUGACGGAAGAGCACAACCAGGAGUGGAUUCUGCGGCUUAAUUUGACUCAACACGGGGAAACUUACCAGGUUAAAACAAUAGUGGGAUUGACAGUUUGAGAGCGCUUUCUUGAUUGGUUGGGUGGUGGUGCAUGGCCGUUCUUAGUUGGUGGGUUGUCUUGUCAGGUUGAUUCCGGCAACGAACGAGACCUCAGCCUUUAAAUAGUCACUGUCGCUUUUUGCGGCUGGCUUUGACUUCUUAGAGGGACAGUUGGCGUUUAGUCAACGGAAGUAUGAGGCAAUAACAGGUCUGUGAUGCCCUUAGAUGUUCUGGGCCGCACGCGCGCUACACUGAUGCAUUCAACAAGCCUAUCCCUAGCCGAAAGGCUCGGGUAAUCUUUGAAACUGCAUCGUGAUGGGGAUAGAUUAUUGCAAUUAUUAGUCUUCAACGAGGAAUGCCUAGUAAGCGCAAUUCAUCAGAUUGCGUUGAUUACGUCCCUGCCCUUUGUACACACCGCCCGUCGCUCCUACCGAUUGGGUGUGCUGGUGAAGUGUUCGGAUUGGCAAUUGAAGGUGGCAACACCGUCGAUUGCCGAGAAGUUCAUUAAACCCUCCCACCUAGAGGAAGGAGAAGUCGUAACAAGGUU